rnacentral:rRNA from 1 species
UGCAAGUCGAACGGUAACAUAUCUCUGCUUGCAAGAUGAUGACGAGUGGCGAACGGGUGCGUAACGCGUAUGCAACCUACCUUAAACUGGGGGAUAGCCAGAAGAAAUUCCGAUUAAUACCCCAUAUUAUAUAUUCUUCGCAUGUUGAAUAUAUCAAAGCUUUGGCGGUUUAAGAUGGGCAUGCGUGACAUUAGCUAGUUGGUAAGGUAACGGCUUACCAAGGCAACGAUGUCUAGGGGGUCUGAGAGGAUUAUCCCCCACACUGGUACUGAGACACGGACCAGACUCCUACGGGAGGCAGCAGUGAGGAAUAUUGGACAAUGGGCGAAAGCCUGAUCCAGCCACGCCGCGUGCAGGAAGAAUGCCCUACGGGUUGUAAACUGCUUUUAUAUAGGAAUAAACCCCUCUACGUGUAGAGGGCUGGAGGUACUAUACGAAUAAGGAUCGGCUAACUCCGUGCCAGCAGCCGCGGUAAUACGGAGGAUCCAAGCGUUAUCCGGAUUUAUUGGGUUUAAAGGGUGCGUAGGCGGGGCAAUAAGUCAGUGGUGAAAUCUUCCAGCUUAACUGGGAAACUGCCAUUGAUACUGUUGUUCUUGAGUUUGGUUGAAGUAAGCGGAAUGAGGCAUGUAGCGGUGAAAUGCAUAGAUAUGCCUCAGAACACCGAUUGCGAAGGCAGCUUACUAAGCCAAUACUGACGCUGAGGCACGAAAGCGUGGGUAGCGAACAGGAUUAGAUACCCUGGUAGUCCACGCUGUAAACGAUGAUUACUCGCUGUUGGCGAUACAAUGUCAGCGGCUAAGCGAAAGUGAUAAGUAAUCCACCUGGGGAGUACGUUCGCAAGAAUGA